rnacentral:tRNA from 1 species
GCCCCAGUGGCCUAAUGGAUAAGGCACUGGCCUCUUAAGCCAGGGAUUGUGGGCUCAAGUCCCAUCUGGGGUG